ACUCGAAUUCAUCGACUUCGACGACUCUGUGAUGUGAAGUAGCUUCUGAUGGCUUUAAAGGCCUCGAAUGCGCACAUGUAUAUAGGAUAUUUUUUAUAGCUUCCCCGAUGCAUAACCUGAUGUUAGAGUAGCAGCUGGACCCAGAGCCGCAGCUGGGCCCCGGGGGCUGCUGGCCUCUGGGCGCCACUGCCUUUGCACUUGGAAAGAGCAGUAGCCCCCGGGCAGAGUUGAAGCCUGGCCUCCUCCUGUCCUUGUCUUUUUGUGCUUUCCUCGGCACCCUAACUUUUUUCUUACUUUUCUUGUUUUGUUUGUAUUUCUUGUGGAUUGGUUUGGGGGGGGGGAGGUUCCCCUUUUUUGUGAUUUUUUGCAACAAGUGCGCUUGCCCAGCUAACUUUUGAAUUGCACUUUUUAAUAAAUAUUUGUAACAAUUUUUAAAGAAGGCUAUUCUAUCUUGUUUAGGAGCAUGGUAGGUAAGGAAAUCUGCCUGUUAAUGAAAGCUAAAAGCAAAUUUAUAAAGCUGAAAGGGUGGUUGGCAUCCAUGUUUACACUCAACUCAAAUUUUGAUAUAUAAAUAAAUUAGGAAAAAGACUGUUACAAAGGGCUUCAAAGGUAGGAUAUCAGAUUAUUUAUGUUUUAAAAGUUUUAAGACUUAUUCAGAUAGUCUUCUAUAAACUUAGACCAGGGAUGGUCCUUAGGUUUGCAUUAAGAAGUCAAAUUUUGUUAAAAAUAAGUGGGACCUUGUUUAAGCGCCGUUCUGCUCACUCCUCAUUAUGAGAAGUAGCACCUCAGAGAAUGACAAGGUCCCCUGUUCAAAAGCCUUGCUAUUCUCCUGCUGUCACCAGACCCUGGUCAGUACAGUAAGGCCUGUAUAGAACACGCCUGGUCAUUUUAUGAGUAAGACACUCCCGUUAGUUUAGGGCCAAGUUUGGUGGCCCCGGGCAGCAUGUUGUUCCAUUCUUUUGCAUUGGCAUUUUGACCUCACUGUUGGAAGGUGAUUGCUGAACGGUGGCUGAGACAUGAUGGGGUAAAGCUGAGUAGGGAACGUUGAGAGGGAGAAUCAACUUAAAUACAGGUUCCCCCUGCAAGGCACUCCCACUCCCACCUUAGACUGACCUAGAGCCAGCCUGACCCUGCUGUGCCCGCUGAGAGUCACCGCAGAACAGCCUUCCUUGGAAGGGCCUCCACACAGACUCCUAAACUGGCAGUGAAGUGCAGAGGCCAGGGGCCUACAUUUAUUUUCAAGGACAAAUAUUUCUUCCCCAGAGAUGGAGAUAACCUAAGUGUUCCCUUCACUCUGUCCCAGAGUCGGGGGUGGGGGGUGGGGCGAUAGGGACACCCUCGCUGCUUGUGAGUGCCUCCUGCUGGCAGCCCAGGGUCUUUCCCUUCAGCCUCCACACUGAGGCUCAGUCGUCAUUUUUAAAGAACUGGCAGAAUGCGGUGGAUCAGAGAGAAGGAGCUCAAAGAGCUCAUAAACAUCUAUGUUUGUGAGAAGAACAUUUAUGUGACCGAUCUGGAGGGCAGGUGCGAAUGGACCACCGAGAGUUGGCCCGAGUGGGAGUCCAGCUGGAAAACCAAAACACCUUCAGUUUCUAGUCCUCUAAUUUGUGUUCCUGUCUUUGUGAGGACUGUGAAAAAUCACAAUGCUACAUUUGCUUUGGACUGUGUGGCAAAUGGAAUUGCAGUGGUGUGUGUGUGUGUGUGUGUGUGUGUUACAUGAGGAUCUUGCACAACUUCAGAAUUCACACCAGAGCUGAAGGGGGGAAACUUGGUAACUUGCCCAUUAUUCUCUGCUCUUAGCCAGAGUUAAACAGACUGAUGGGUCUGGUAGCCAACAACUUGGCAACUUCCAUGCCUUCUCACCUCGUGAGAUUAAGGGCUGUGAAAAGAAAUCGAGUCUAACUCAACAGAAAUCUGUCUCUGUUAAGUAUUUUACCUUCUGUAAGUAAAGGUGGUGGAGCCAAGAUUUUUCUUUUGGUAAUUUCCCUGGCUAUAAAGUGAGACCAGAGGGACAUCUAUUGCCUGUAACUUUUCUGAAGAAUUUGGAGCAUAUGAAGAUCAAGAAAUCAAAUGACGACUGUGAGCUGCAUUUCAGCUGUGUGGAUGGUGCACUGCUCAGCUCCACCUGGUACCACAAGGUGAAUCUGUAAGCAAAAGAAGUGGCUGUCUGGAAACCACACGCUAAAACAUGGAAUGUGCAGCCUGUAGUUCUCUUUCUCUCACCGGCAUUUCUUUCCCUCCCAAGUUUUCAAGAAUAUUUUUUUCCCAAAGGAAUGUUCUUUGCCUAGAGAGAAGGUGAACCAAAGGCUUCUCAGAUGUAUCUCCCCCUCCAUUGCCGUGGAGAGGGCACUAAAGAUGGGACCCGAUGAGAGGCCUUGCUAGGCACCUUGCUCCUCCUGGGCCUUCCUUCCCAGUUGGGCAAGUUGAGUCCCCGGAUAGCCUGGUAAGAGGAGGUGGUCUUCCUUUUAAUGUCCAGUUGCCCUAACUCCCAGCCUUCAGAAAAUUUGCUUAAAUGGUCUGAUUCUGGUGUGGCCACAUUGGUCAGCUGUUUGUAAACAUGGAUGCCACUGUCGCCUGUUUUCUUGGUAAUGCUCACUGGGAAUUGCCUCUGGUGUUGGAUCCAAAAAGCAAGAGUGUUAUAGGGAGUAGAGCUGCCCCUCAGCCCCAGGCAGCCCCGAGUGAGCCUUGUGCCUGGUGCUUGGCGACUCAGGCAGAGAAAUGCCAACAGAGCAGACCUGCCUUGUGCCCUCUAGAGGGUCAACUCAGAGGGACCUGGGAUCACUGAGUGUGAUCUUGUUGCAGAUGAACAAUAACAGCUCACCCCAGUGUGCAUGGGGGUGCACUGCAUUCUGGACUUGGCCACCGGGCGCCCACACAGCUUGUGGAACAAGUUGAGGCUGACUUCGGUGACAGAGGUCAUUGGAUACUGAGUUGUGCACAACACUUCGCUGUAGACUAUGUGAUUUUUUUUUUUCCUUUUGAAUACAGAAGCUCUGAAAGUUCCAGUGGCACCGAGGCCAGGUUGUAGUGACCUAGACAUAUUUGGGAGCUCUUUGUAUACUGCAGUCUCUUCACUAAUUCAGCUGUUGGGGAAGUGGUUGGAGAGGAAAAAACUUGGUUUCCCUCUGCCAUAAACUAACAUGUGGUGCUCUUUUCCUCUGGAUGUGACCUUUGUCCAGAGGUGCCCUCCCUGUGGCUGUGUAGAUGUUCACUGUGCUGAGACCGCGUUGUCCUGAAUGCCUGCCUGUUGCUUGGGCUUCACGUGAACGUCUCAUGGCCCUGGUUUGCCGACUGUAGCCAGACCUUCCUGAGAACAGUGCGUGGUAUCAGGUUAUCUUUUAAGGUCAUGAGCUGUCAAACUCAGAGCCACUUGGUUAUUCAGGGGAUGUUAAAAUAAGGCCAGUCAGCUUCCUCGUUUGCUCUCAGGCCCUGCUCCUUGGCCUUGGUGGCAGCUGCAGCCCUGGGGUGGGAUCAAGCUCAGGGCUGUUUGCCAGCUCCACAGAAUGUAGAUCCCGCCGAGACGCCGUUUGUGAGUGGGAGGUGUGUCCCCGAGCUGAGGUCCAGCUUGGGAGAGGCCGAUGUCUCUAUCCCCAGCAAACAGUGUGUGUCCUGCCCUCUGGGAUGGGGAGAGGACAGCCAGGACCCCAGAGAAGCUUUUGGAACUGCUUUUAAGCUCCUGCGAUGGCUUCAUAACUGGCCAAGAGUGGGCCCAGCUCUCCACGGACAGACUUGAGAGAGUACCCAGGGUGAGGGGGCCGAGAAGCCACUGAGGGGAGGACCAAGGGACCCCAGCCCUAAAUGAUGGAUGGGUUACAAGUUUGUAAGUGGAAAUGGGCUUUUCCUUGGCUUAUUUGUUAUUAGAAAUAAGUAUGAUUUAGAGAUAGGCAAAGCCCAGCAGAAAUCAAUCAUUAUAUAUUAUCCACGCAUAAAUAACCUUGCAGCAUUUUAAUUUUAAGUAACUGGAAGGUGCACACUAAGGGAAUGGGGUCAGGUUAGAACUGCAGACACCUGAGCAGCUUCCCUUGAGAUGGUGAGAAGGGGCCAGAGCCAGAGGCUGGAAGUUUAACCAGCCUUGACCACAGCUAGAUUUGUUUCCUUUAUAUGUGGCCCUCCGAGGUGGUAUGGGACCAGGGUGGCUACAGCAUCACCCAGGAACUUGUUAGAAAUGCACAUUCCCAGACCCCUCUCUGACCUGCUGAAUCGGCAAGUCUGGAGGUCAGUACUGUCUUAACAAGCUGUCCAGAGGGUUCCAAUGCAUGCUUGAGUUUGAGAACCACUGCCACAGCAUCUCGGACUUCAGGCUACAGGAAAGCAUCCCUACAAAAUAAAACAUCAUCUACAGCUUUGAUUGUAAUCCUAAGAUUUAUGACACUGCAAACUUGAAAACUUGAAAAAAUAUACUUGGGUAAAACAAAACAAAAACUCAGCUAGCCACCCUUAAGAGUGAUAUUUUUACACCCCGAAGUCUAUCGGUAAUAUUUCUUACUUCUCUUGAGAUCAUGUUACAACUGUAUGAAAAAUACUGUUCAGUAUUAAAGAGAAAUGGAGAGACCUUAAA
rnacentral:lncRNA from 1 species